rnacentral:rRNA from 1 species
CUACGGAGGGUCCAAGCGUUAUCCGGGAUCAUUGGGUUUAAAGGGUCCGCAGGCGGUCAAUUAAGUCAGAGGUGAAAGCCCAUCGCUCAACGAUGGAACUGCCUUUGAUACUGGUUGACUUGAGUUAUACGGAAGUAGAUAGAAUAAGUAGUGUAGCGGUGAAAUGCAUAGAUAUUACUUAGAAUACCGAUUGCGAAGGCAGUCUACUACGUAUAUACUGACGCUGAGGGACGAAAGCGUGGGGAGCGAACAGGAUUAGAAACCCCUGUAGUCC